CAGCAGCCACGGGAAUACGUAGGGUGCGAGCGUUGUCCGGAAUUAUUGGGCGUAAAGAGCUCGUAGGCGGCUUGUCGCGUCGGAUGUGAAAGCCCGGGGCUUAACUCCGGGUCUGCAUUCGAUACGGGCAGGCUAGAGUGUGGUAGGGGAGGUCGGAACUCCUGGUGUAGCGGUGAAAUGCGCAGAUAUCAGGAGGAACACCGGUGGCGAAGGCGGAUCUCUGGGCCAUUACUGACGCUGAGGAGCGAAAGCGUGGGGAGCGAACAGGAUUAGAGACCCCAGUAGUCCCUGUCUCUUAUAC
rnacentral:rRNA from 1 species